rnacentral:rRNA from 1 species
CAUAACCUCGGGAAACUGGGGAUAAUACUCCAUAUAUUGGAGAAACUGGAAUGUUCUUUAAUCGAAAGUUCCGGCGCCAUAGGAUGGAUCUGCGGCCGAUUAAGUAGUUGUUGGGGUAACGGCCCAACAAGCCUGUAAUCCGUACGGGUUGUGGGAACAAGAACCCGGAAAUGGAAUCUGAAACACAAUUCCCGGGCCUACGGGGCGCAGCAGGGGCGAAAACUUUACAAUGGAGGAAACUGUGAUAAGGGAACCCCGAGUGCCCGUAUACACGGGCUGUCCAGGUGUCAAAAACGCAUCUGAAGAAAGGGCCGGGCAAGACCGGUGCCAGCCGCCGCGGUAAUACCGGCGGCUCGAGUGGUGACCACUUUUAUUGGGCUUAAACCGUUCGUAUCUGGACUCUUAAGUCUCUUGGGAAAUCCCGCGGCUUAACCGUGGGGCGUUUAAGAGAUACUGAGAGUCUAGGAACCGGGAGAGGUAAGAGGUACUUCAGGGGUAGAAUUGAAAUUCUGUAAUCCUCUCGGGACCACCCAUGGCGAAGGCAUCGUACCCGAACGGCUUCGACAGUGAGGAACGAAAGCUGGGCGAGCGAACCGGAUUGGAUACCCCGGUAGUCCCAGCCGUAAACGAUGCGCGUUAGGUGUACUGGUGACCACGAGUCACUGGGGUGCCGAACGGAAACCGUGAAACGUGCCGCCUGGCAAGUACAGUCCCGACGCUAAACUUAAAUGAAUUGACUGGGGAGCACCACAACGGGAGGAGCCUGCCCUUUAGUUGACUCAACUCCAGGCAGCUCACCUCAUCGACAGCGACAUGAUAUCAUGGCUGAGUACAUGCUUGACUUGCUGAGAUGAGUGCAU